AGUUCUCAUACCUGCCAUCAACAAGCCACAUGCACGAACACGGCGGGAUCUUUCACUUGUUCCUGUAACUCAGGAUUUUCUGGAGAUGGAGUAACCUGCACAGACAUAGAUGAAUGUACAUCGGGAACCAACAAUUGUGCCCCCCAAGCGACAUGUACCAACACUGCAGGGUCCUUCACCUGUACCUGUAAUACAGGCUACACUGGGGAUGGAGUUACAUGUGCAGAUGUGAACGAGUGUGAUGCCAGUUCUCAUACCUGCCAUCAACAAGCCACAUGCACGAACACCGUGGGAUCUUUCACUUGUUC